rnacentral:rRNA from 1 species
UACGAAGGGAGCUAGCGUUGUUCGGAAUCACUGGGCGUAAAGCGCACGUAGGCGGAUGUGUCAGUCAGGGGUGAAAUCCCGGAGCUCAACUUCGGAACUGCCUUUGAUACAGCACGUCUUGAGUCCGAUAGAGGUGGGUGGAAUUCCUAGUGUAGAGGUGAAAUUCGUAGAUAUUCGGAAGAACACCAGUGGCGAAGGCGGCUCACUGGUCCGGUACUGACGCUGGAGGUGCGAAAGCGUGGGGAGCAAACAGG